AUACGUAGGGGGCGAGCGUUGUCCGGAAUUAUUGGGCGUAAAGGGUUCGCAGGCGGUCUGAUAAGUCAGAUGUGAAAGGCAAUGGCUCAACCAUUGUAAGCAUUUGAAACUGUCAGACUUGAGUUAAGGAGAGGAAAGUGGAAUUCCUAGUGUAGCGGUGAAAUGCGUAGAUAUUAGGAGGAAUACCAGUGGCGAAGGCGACUUUCUGGACUUAUACUGACGCUGAGGAACGAAAGCGUGGGGAGCAAACAGGAUUAGAUACCCUGGUAGUCCACGCGGUAAACGAUGAUCACUAGGUGUUGGCACGCAUAGCGUGUCGGUGCCGCAGCAAACGCAAUAAGUGAUCCACCUGGGGAGUACGUUCGCAAGAAUGAAACUCAAAUGAAUUGACGGGG
rnacentral:rRNA from 1 species